GAGUUUGAUCCUGGCUCAGAAUCAACGCUGGCGGCGUGCCUAACACAUGCAAGUCGAACGAGAAAGUGGAGCAAUCCAUGAGUAAAGUGGCGACCGGGUGAGUAACACGUGACCAAUCUACCCUCGAGUGGGGGAUAACUCCGGGAAACCGGAGCUAAUACCGCAUAACAUCUUUGGAACCCAGGUUCCGAUGAUCAAAGGAGCAAUCCGCUUGAGGAGGAGGUCGCGGCUGAUUAGCUAGUUGGCGGGGUAAUGGCCCACCAAGGCGAAGAUCGGUAGCCGGCCUGAGAGGGCGCACGGCCACACUGGAACUGAAACACGGUCCAGACUCCUACGGGAGGCAGCAGUGGGGAAUUUUGCGCAAUGGGGGAAACCCUGACGCAGCAACGCCGCGUGGAGGAUGAAGUCCCUUGGGACGUAAACUCCUUUCGACCGGGAAGAUAAUGACGGUACCCGCAGAAGAAGCCCCGGC
rnacentral:rRNA from 1 species